AGAGUGUGAUCCUGGCUCAGAUGUGAACGCUGGCGGCAUUGCCUUACACAUUGCAAGUCGAACGGCAGCACGGGAGCAAUCCUGGUGGCGAGUGGCGAACGGGUGAGUAAUACAGUCGGAACGUGUCCUGUAGUGGGGGAUAGCCCGGCGAAAGCCGGAUUAAUACCGCAUACGCUCUACGGAGGAAAGGGGGGGAUAUCUUCGGACCUCUCGCUACAGGGGCGGCCGAUGGCACAAUUAACUAUAUUGGGUGGGGGUUAAGGGCCCACCCAGGGCGAACGAUUCUGUUGCCUGGGUCUGAGAGGACGACCAGCCACACUGGGACUGAGACACGGCCCAGACUCCUACGGGAGGCAGCAGUGGGGAAUUUUGGACAAUGGGGGCAACCCUGAAUCCAGCAAUGCCGCGUGUGUGAAGAAGGCCUUCGGGUUGUAAAGCAC
rnacentral:rRNA from 1 species